AGUAACACGUGGGUAACCUGCCCGGAAGUGGGGAAUACCUCGGGGAAACUCGAGCUAAUGCCGCAUAACAUCUCCGGGACGAAAGUCCUGGCGAUCAAAGCGGGGUCGCAAGAUCUCGCGCUACCGGAUGGGCCCGCGCCCGAUUAGCUAGUUGGUGAGGUAAUGGCUCACCAAGGCAACGAUCGGUAGCCGGCCUGAGAGGGUGAUCGGCCACACCGGAACUGAGACACGGUCCGG
rnacentral:rRNA from 1 species